rnacentral:lncRNA from 1 species
CGGGACCGAGCGAGCCGGCGAGCGACCGAGGUAAAGGUAUCGCGCCUUAGACAGAGGCCACCAGAGUUGAGUUGGAUUUACAUUUUGUUAGUAGAGUACCCUAUGUUCAUCUUUUGUAUUUGAUGACUAGUGAUGUUGAAAAGAGAAUGUAAUGUGUAUUUUGAGGUAAAUGUGAUGUAAGAAAGAAAUGAUGAAAUGAAAU